GGGGCUGUGGCUCAGGGGCAGAGCACAUGCUUUGCAUGCAGAAGGUCACAGGUUCAAUCCCAGGUGUCUCCA